GGGAAGAUGGCUCAGUGGUAGAGCGCUUGCCUUGCAUGCAUGAGGCCCUGGGUUCGAUUCUUCAGCACCACAUAAGCAAAAAGAAAAAACCCGGAAGUGGC
rfam:Dipodomys ordii contig_51403, whole genome shotgun sequence.